CAGUCGCCGCGGGAACACGAAGGGGGCUAGCGUUGUUCGGAAUUACUGGGCGUAAAGCGCACGUAGGCGGACAUUUAAGUCAGGGGUGAAAUCCCGGGGCUCAACCCCGGAACUGCCUUUGAUACUGGGUGUCUAGAGUAUGGAAGAGGUGAGUGGAAUUCCGAGUGUAGAGGUGAAAUUCGUAGAUAUUCGGAGGAACACCAGUGGCGAAGGCGGCUCACUGGUCCAUUACUGACGCUGAGGUGCGAAAGCGUGGGGAGCAAACAGGAUUAGAUACCCGAGUAGUCCCUGUCUCUUAUAC
rnacentral:rRNA from 1 species